CUAAGCGUCCCCUAGCAACCUUCGCAAAAAGGAAGAGAGGGGUUCCCCUUUUGGCCCUGGACCAGUGACUUUGCUGUUUCUUCCUUGGAGAGACCUGGCUUUGGGCGAUGGGGGGAUAAGGGGAUUAGAGCAGUGGCUCUCGUAGGGUGGUCUGAGGGGCCCUGUGGGUCCGACGAUCCUUUCAAAACUAGUUUCAUAGUAAUGGUAGGAUUUCGUUUCCCUUUCUUACUCUCGCUGAAAUUUUCCAGAGAACUGAUGUGUGAUGACGUCAUCGCUCUCAUGACUAAAGGAAUGUGUGCUUGUAUUGUGUUUUCUAGAAUUUCCUAAGCUUUCCGAAUGUUCCACAUUUGUUGAAAACUACAAACAAACAUAUCCAAGAAUCCCAGUGAAUGCCAAGCAGCAUAAACACGAAGAAAACCACAUCAAGGCACUGCAGAAUCAAAUUUCUCAAAACUAGUGAUACAGAGAAAAUCUUAAGUUAAGAGUAAUCACUGGUUUCUCAUCAAAAACAAUGCAAACCAGAAGAUGGUGGAACAACAUCUUUAAAGCACUGGAAGAAUGCUUUCAACCCAGAAUUUUAUAUCCAGUGAAAAUGUCUUUCAAAGAUGAAGGCAAAAUAAAGACAUUUCAGAUAAGCUAAAGCCAAGAGCAUUCAUCACUAGUGACCUUGUACCACAAGGAAUGCUAAAAGAAGUUCUUCAGGUUAAAGGAAAAGGAUACCAGAUGGACACAAGAAUCUAUGCAAAGGAAUGAAGAGUACCAGAAAUGUUUUCUGACAUCAGAAGUGGGAUCCAAAGAAGACCCUCAACAACUCUGAGGCCAGUGAGCAACCACGUGCUGGUACCCACUGGGCCCAUUGAGCUCACCACUGUCUUGCCAACCUUGCAGUCAGCCUGAAUGCUGCUCUCUUUGCAUGUUGAGCUCUCGGAAUUUAUUGUGCAUACCUGUAUUCUGUUUGUUGAAGCUUCUUGAAGAAGAAAGGAAAAAGAAGAAGGCAAAACCUAAAUGGAUAUAGAAAGAUGCAAAAGGCACUGAAGCCUCGGGAGCAACAACGAGUCCACUGCCAUUUUUAAGCAAGAGGAAAUUGUUAGAGGAAAAAGAGCAUUGCUAAAGACAUAAAAGCUUUCAACACUUGGAUUUGAUGAGCAGUCAUAAAGGUGGAGCUGAGGAAAGUGGUUAAGAAUCGCCUGCCAAUGCAGGGGACACAGGUUCGAGCCCUGGUCUGGGAAGAUCCCACGUGCUGCAGAGCAACUAAGCCCGUGCAUCACAACUACUGAACCUGCGCUCUAGAGCCCGUGUGCCACAACUACUGAGCCCGCGUGCCACAACUACUGAGCCCACAUGCCACAACUACUGAAGCCCGUGCACCUAGAGCCCGUGCUCCGCAACAAGAGAAACCACUGCAAUGAGAAGUCCCCGCUCGCCGCAACUAGAGAAAGCCCGCGUGCAGCAACGAAGACCCAACACAGCCAAAAAGAAAAUAUAAAAUAAAUAAAUAAAUAACAUCUGCAGUGGGACAUCUGUGGGGUUGGUUGCUCUGUACUCCUUUUCUACGGAGUGCUCCACAUCCCCCUCUGAGAGGCUACUUAUGGAAAUAGCCAUACUAGUAGAU